AAACCAUGUUGUGGGCACUUUCUGAGCAAUCCCUUGAAUCUCUCCAAAGCCUUAUAAAGAGAUUCUAUCUCUUUUUGUUUGAAUGUCGAUAUGUCUUCCUUAAAUUU